UGGGGGAAUUUUGGACAAUGGGGGAAACCCCGAUCCAGCCAUCCCGCGUGUGCGAUGAAGGCCUUCGGGUUGUAAAGCACUUUUGGCAGGAAAGAAACGUCGCGGGUUAAUACCCCGCGAAACUGACGGUACCUGCAGAAUAAGCACCGGCUAACUACGUGCCAGCAGCCGCGGUAAUACGUAGGGUGCAAGCGUUAAUCGGAAUUACUGGGCGUAAAGCGUGCGCAGGCGGUUCGGAAAGAAAGAUGUGAAAUCCCAGAGCUUAACUUUGGAACUGCAUUUUUAACUACCGGGCUAGAGUGUGUCAGAGGGAGGUGGAAUUCCGCGUGUAGCAGUGAAAUGCGUAGAUAUGCGGAGGAACACCGAUGGCGAAGGCAGCCUCCUGGGAUAACACUGACGCUCAUGCACGAAAGCGUGGGGAGCAAACAGGAUUAGAUACCCUGGUAGUCCACGCCCUAAACGAUGUCAACUAGCUGUUGGGGCCUUCGGGCCUUGGUAGCGCAGCUAACGCGUGAAGUUGACCGCCUGGGGAGUACGGUCGCAAGAUUAAAACUCAAAGGAAUU
rnacentral:rRNA from 1 species